rnacentral:rRNA from 1 species
GUAAAAAGUCGUAACAAGGUCUCCGUAGGUGAACCUGCGGAGGGAUCAUUACAAGUNGACCCCGGUCUAACCACCGGGAUGUUCAUAACCCUUUGUUGUCCGACUCUGUUGCCUCCGGGGCGACCCUGCCUUCGGGCGGGGGCUCCGGGUGGACACUUCAAACUCUUGCGUAACUUUGCAGUCUGAGUAAACUUAAUUAAUAAAUUAAAACUUUUAACAACGGAUCUCUUGGUUCUGGCAUCGAUGAAGAACGCAGCGAAAUGCGAUAAGUAAUGUGAAUUGCAGAAUUCAGUGAAUCAUCGAAUCUUUGAACGCACAUUGCGCCCCCUGGUAUUCCGGGGGGCAUGCCUGUUCGAGCGUCAUUUCACCACUCAAGCCUCGCUUGGUAUUGGGCAACGCGGUCCGCCGCGUGCCUCAAAUCGACCGGCUGGGUCUUCUGUCCCCUAAGCGUUGUGGAAACUAUUCGCUAAAGGGUGUUNCGGGAGGCUACGCCGUAAAACAACCCCAUUUCUAAGGUUGACCUCGGAUCAGGUAGGGAUACCCGCUGAACUUAAGCAUAUCAAUAAGCGGAGG